AACGAACGCUGGCGGCAUGCCUAACACAUGCAAGUCGAACGAGACCUUCGGGUCUAGUGGCGCACGGGUGCGUAACGCGUGGGAACCUGCCCUUAGGUUCGGAAUAACUCCCCGAAAGGGGUGCUAAUACCGGAUAAUGUCUUCGGACCAAAGAUUUAUCGCCUUUGGAUGGGCCCGCGUUGGAUUAGCUAGUUGGUAGGGUAAAAGCCUACCAAGGCGACGAUCCAUAGCUGGUCUGAGAGGAUGAUCAGCCACACUGGGACUGAGACACGGCCCAGACUCCUACGGGAGGCAGCAGUGGGGAAUAUUGGACAAUGGGCGAAAGACUGAUCCAGCAAUGCCGCGUGAGUGAUGAAGGCCUUAGGGUUGUAAAGCUCUUUUAACCGGGAUGAUAAUGACAGUACCGGGAGAAUAAGCUCCGGCUAACUCCGUG
rnacentral:rRNA from 1 species